AAAAUCUCAGGACUGAACAGACCUAUUUACAUUUUUCAGUGACUGUGAUGAGCUGACGUGUUGAGCCUGGUAAUUAUGUUUGACCACUGAGCCAUUUGAUAAUAUACUACAUAAUGGGAGUAAUUUGGGGUUCAGUGUUUUCCUCAAGCAGACUUCAGCGUGUGGACAUGAGGAGCUGGGCAUCAAACUACCAACCCUACAAUUCAUGGUCCUCCCACUGUACGUCCCGAACUCCACCCAUCCCCACAAUUCACAUGACGGGGGGGAUAUGUUUUGUAAAUGCAAUAACAGAAUGAAUGCCUUGAAUUAUUACACUAUUAUCUACACUAUCAUAAAACUAAUGCAGUCUAAUGCAACAGUCAUCCAAUAAAUCUGACCUUCGUGGAGGUUAUAAUGCUCA